rnacentral:ncRNA from 1 species
CUGCGGUUCCGCGCGGCGCCUCGCCUGGGCAGCCAACUUAGAACGGUGCGGACCGGGGGAAUCCGAUGAUUUAAUUAAAACAAAGCAUCGCGAAGGCCUGCUGCGGGUGUUGAUGGGAUUUCGGCCCAGUGCUCUCAAUGUCAAAGUGAAGAAAUUCAGUGAAGCGCGGGUAAAUGGAGUAACUAUGACUCUCUUGAGGUAGCCAAAUGCCGCGUCGUCUAAUUAGUGACGCACAGGAAUGGAUGGACGAGAUUCCCACUGUCCGUCCCUGCUAUCCAGCGAAACCACAGCCAAGGGAACGGGCUUGGCGGAAUCAGCGGGGGAAAGAAGACCCCUUGAGCUUGACUCUAGUCUGGCAGGCGGAAGAGACAGGAGAGGUGCAGAGUAAGUGGGAGGCCCCGGCGCCCCUGCCCUGAGUCCCCGCCAGGGGGCGGGCUGCUGGUGAAAUACCACUACCCUGAUCAUUACUUCCACUAACCCGGUGAGGGGGGUGGGGGAGGGGUGAGCCCCGAGGGGCUGUUGCUUCUGGUGCGGAGGGGGCGGCUGCGCUGGCUGGGUGGGACCUGCUCCGGGGACAGUUCCAGGUGGGGAGUUUGGGGCCGUGCACCUGUCAAACGGUAACGCAGGUGUCCCAAGGCGAGCUCAGGGAGGACAGAAACCUCCCGUGGAGCAGAAGGGCAAAGCUCGCUUGAUCUUGAUUUUAAGUAUGAAUACAGACCGUGAAAGCGGGGCCUCGCGAUCCUUCUGACCUUUCGGGUUUUAAGCAGGAGGUGUCAGAAAAGUUACCACAGGGAUAACCUGCUUCUGGUGCCGAGCGGGCGGCUGCGCUGGCUGGGUGGGACCUGCUCCCGGGACAGUGCCAGGUGGGGAGUUUGGGGCCGUGCACCUGUCCCAAGGUGUCCCAAGGCGAGCUCAGGGAGGACAGAAACCUCCCGUGGAGCAGAAGGGCAAAAGCUCGCUUGAUCUUGAUUUUCAGUACGAAUACAGACCGUGAAAGCGGGGCCUCGCGAUCCUUCUGACCUUUCGGGUUUUAAGCAGGAGGUGUCAGAAAAGUUCCCGCAGGGAUAACUGGCUUGUGGCGGCCAAGCGUUCAUAGCGACGUCGCUUUUGAUCCUUCGAUGUCGGCUCUUCCUAUCAUUGUGAAGCAGAAUUCACCCAGCGUUGGAUUGUUCACCUGCUAAUAGGGAACGUGAGUUGGGUUUAGACCCUCGUGAAACAGGUUAGUUUUACCCCACUGGUGAUGUGUUGUUGCCAUGGUAAUCCUGCUCAGUACGAGAGGAACCGAAGGUUCAGACAUUUGGUGUAUGUGCUACAAUGGGGCGAAGCUACCAUCGGUGGGAUUAUGAUUGAACCUCUAAGUCAGAAUUCGAACAAUAGGGCAGCACUGCGGGGCCUCGGUUGGCCUCGAUUAGCCGGUCCGCCAGAGGGCCGUUGUGCAUUGGGACCACGGGGUCCCGAGCGGAGAGCCCUUUGUCCUGGGAAACGGGGUGUGACUGGAAAGGGGUAGCCCCCUCACACAUUUGUUCAUGGGGGACCUGGUGCUAAACCAUUCGUAGAUGACCUGCUUCUGGGUCAGGGUUUCUUACAUAGCAGAGCAGCGCCCUUGAAAGUCAGCCCUGGACACAAGCGUUUGU